GUGCUCACUUUGGCAGCACAUAUACUAAAAUUGUAACGAUACAGAGAAGAUUAACAUGGCCCCUGUGGAAGGACAAAAUGCAAAUUCGUGAAAUGUUCCAUGUUUAA
ensembl:snRNA U6 U6 spliceosomal RNA